GUCUGAUUCAUUAAUAUUGUUAUACUACAUGGACUAAAUUAUAAUUAUCACUAAUGCAUGUUUCAUUCAUAUAUAUUUGACAAAACUAUGAGCAAUGAAACUUAAUCCAUUUUUUUCAUUGAUAAUCCAAGGUUCUUGUGUAAGGGAUUAGAGAUUGAAACCCUGAUAACUCACUUCCUAAUCAUUUGAAUAUUUGAUCCUCUUAGAAUUCGAUUCCUCUUCCUCAGUAUCGGAGUCAAACAUGCUGCUGGGUUUGCUGUUGGCCUCAACGUAUAGAAGUCGGACUCCACACUUCUUAAUAUUGCAGUGUAGCAUAUGAAUAAGUUCUGGCAGCCCUUGAAAGCAAAAAUCAAAUGAAACCUCAUGACCAGAAUACUUGUUGAACCAGCCUUUUUCAUCCAUUAAACCAGUUUGUGAUGUUUCUGAAUGUGGAUCAUACCACAACAAUACAUGAUCUGACUCGAGUAAAUGGACAUCAAUGUCAAAGCAUUGCCAACUACCUAUAACAGCAUUUCCUUCAAAAUUAUCGGCUUUGACUCGGCAUUCACAAUUUAUCCAACAAGCAAUUGGGAAAAUGAUAUCUGGCAGGCUUUGGGAUCCCUCUAAUGCUAUGACAAUGCAGAAAGCAAUUCCUUUGAGCUGAUGCCUAUGAGAGGGCAACUGCACAGUUACUAAAGAUCCCACAUUUUGAUGAUGAAACCAUUGUGGAAUUUCAAUUCCUGGAAAAAGAAUUCUUGAUUGAUUUCCAACCUCCCUGAACUUGCUUGCUAUCAGCUGAAUUGCCAAAUGAGCAUCUGCCUUUAGAUCCAGUUUGAAGCAAUUUGCGAAGUGGAUACACUCAAAAUUGCAUUUGCUUCUGCUUGAUAAGUUUUCGAGUGAUUCACAGUUAUUUGCCUUCAAAAGUAUUAGAGAUGAUGGAAGCUUUGGUAGAGAAAGAAGACCUUUGCAAUAUGUCAAGUCGAUCUCUUCCAGUCUAGAAAGCUGAUGGAUAUUGCUUGGAAGGCUCACAAGGUUUUUGCACUCAUUCAAAUGCAAAGUUUCAAGAAACUUCACAUUUUCAAUAGGUGAGGGCAAAUAUUUUAUAGCCGUUUGACUUACUCUAAGAGUCGCAAGAACUUCCAUUGGCUCCAAGAUUUCUGGGAAACACUCAAAUUUUGAGCAACCUGAUAGAUCAAGCGUUUUUAGACAUUUCAACUUGCAGAUGCUGCUUGAGAGACUCAAUAGCUUUUUGUUGUUCGUCAGCUUCAAUGUAACAAGUCCGGUAAGAAAUUGGAUUGAUUGGGGCACCUCUUCAAUCGCAGUCUCAGACAGAUAUAGGUAUUUCAGGAACACUGAAGCCUCAGGAAACUUGGUGAUUUUUGAGCAUCCAGUGAGAUCAAGAUAACUAAGAUCUGUCAACUUAAAAAUUGAUGCAGGUAGUUCUUUUACCGCUGUCCAGCUCAAAUCUAAAUUUUUCAAAUUUCCAAAAAUCUCUGGACAUGUAUUGACGUUAUAGCACUUUGUUAAAUGAAAUUCUCGAAGGAAUUUUGAAUCAAUUCUGCAAGGAAGAUUUUUAAGGGCCUUACAAAGUCUAAGAUUGAGGUGCUCCAACUUGCUAAGAUACUGAAUAGACGAGGGAAGCUCAACCAAACUUUUACAACCUUGAAGAUCAAUACUCUCAAUAUUUAUGGCCUCUGAGAGAUCAGGAAUAGUAGUCAAGUAUUUGCUCUGAGGUAGGCUAAUCCUUUUUAAAUUCACAAGAGGCUGUCGUAAUUGACAAGGGAAAUUAAUUAGCGUAACUAGAAAGUUAGCAUCUUGAACUUGCAAUUUAGAUUGCAAAACCAAGGGCUCGUUUGGCUCAAAUGGCCUACUUUCUGGGAAGUGGGUUAGGGAAGUCCAGCGAAGGAAAUGAGAGCCUUGAUCUCCCAGGAAGUCAAGGCAUAUGGUCAACUAAACAAUAAAAUUUUAGCACAUCCUGAAAACUUGAACUUUCUGAGUUGACUCCAACCAAACAAGCCCUAGGGGAAAGAAAAGAGAAGAUAAAAAGUGUAAAACACUUAUUAAGUUAUAAAAGCAUGCCUGUAUUCCCGUCCAGAGUUGUCCAGCCCUACAGUAAGGUAGCUCAAGCGCAACAAGCUUCUCGGUGCAAAAAUUUGACGGCAAAGAUUUCAUAGGAAAUCCAUGCCAAUGGAGAUACCUCAGCUGAUGAGAAAGAGAUUGAAGGCCAUGAGGAAGGUGCACUUUAGCUUUGUAGCCUGUAGAUGAAUCAUGCAGAUAGAAAUUGAGCAAUCUAAGAUGGCUCAUUCCUGUAAAGGCACUGGGUUGCAAGUGCAUCUCUCUUGUUUUAGACAUGUCCAAGGAUAUGCCUUCAACUGUUCUGGUCCCCUGUAGACGAAUAAUAUGUACAAGUGACAGAAUUAUCUAGAAAGAAUUGCUUCUUCUUUCAAAGAAUGAUCAAACUAUCAGGCAAAUAUAUAUUCUUUUGUAAUAUAUCACAGAAUACAGAACAUGCAUUAUAGUUAUUCUUACCCUUUCUGUCGUUAAUACUUGGUAAAUAUCCUCAGGAAUCCACAACCUACUACGU
rnacentral:misc_RNA from 1 species